rnacentral:rRNA from 1 species
AACGAACGCUGGCGGCAGGCCUAACACAUGCAAGUCGAGCGAGACCUUCGGGUCUAGCGGCGGACGGGUGAGUAACGCGUGGGAAUAUGCCCUUUGGUACGGAAUAGCCUCGGGAAACUGAGGGUAAUACCGUAUGUGCCCUUCGGGGGAAAGAUUUAUCGCCAAAGGAUUAGCCCGCGUUGGAUUAGGUAGUUGGUGGGGUAAUGGCCUACCAAGCCUACGAUCCAUAGCUGGUUUGAGAGGAUGAUCAGCCACACUGGGACUGAGACACGGCCCAGAGUCCUACGGGAGGCAGCAGUGGGGAAUCUUAGACAAUGGGGGCAACCCUGAUCUAGCCAUGCCGCGUGAGUGAUGAAGGCCUUAGGGUUGUAAAGCUCUUUCAGCUGGGAAGAUAAUGACGGUACCAGCAGAAGAAGCCCCGGCUAACUCCGUGCCAGCCGCCGCCGUAACAC